CCCACUUUCACCCCCACCAAAAUCAAAUCAGUACCCAGCACUACCUCCUCUUUUUUCUACAGCCACAGCCCGUCCCACCACUCUUCGCCGCCGUAGCCUCCGACUUCUCCAGCAAUCCCCUCCUCUACCUCGGUACCUCCAUUCCAUUUUAAUUACCCAAUUUCAAUAAUUAUAUCAAACACCUCAUAGGCAUCCUAAAAUCUUCCAUUUUGACAGAAUUAAUUGACAAAUGUAAUGAAUGUAGAAAGAUGGGUUGGAACCUAUUUUACAACUACAAUCUAAAACAGUUUUCAAUUCAUUGAAUUCUAAAAUGGUUCUUAAUCUGCCCUCUCUCUUGAAUUUAUCCACGGCUUCAUUUGUCUGAGAAGGUUUGGGAAAAUCGUGGGGGGGGGGGGUACCUUUUGGAAUUUAAAUGAGAAAAUUACCUUGUUGGGAUUUGUUGAUAGUGGGGUGAAAGGUGUUCUGGCUAUGGUGGCGAUCCCAAACAAGGAUAAUUGCAGCAGCGAAAUGUGUGGUUGCGAUUUGUCGUGGCGGUCCCAAAUCGGGAUAAUUGCAGGACAAGUAAAGGUUUGGUGGCUAUGGGGAUGGUCCUAAACCGGGAUAGCUGCAGCGGAGAAGCUUUGGAAAAGGUGUGGUGGCCGUGGCUCUGAUUUUUUGGUUUGGGUAGGAUGGGUGAAGCGGAGAUGAAUAUAUAUAUUUUUAAUUAUUUUAAGAGUGUGUUUGAUUG
rnacentral:lncRNA from 1 species